rnacentral:rRNA from 1 species
CAGUCGUACGAUGAAGCCGGUACUUGCUCUGGUGGAUUAGUGGCGAACGGGUGAGUAACACGUGAGUAACCUGCCCUUGACUCUGGGAUAAGCGUUGGAAACGACGUCUAAUACCGGAUACGAGCUUCAGCCGCAUGGCUAGGAGCUGGAAAGAACUUCGGUCAAGGAUGGACUCGCGGCCUAUCAGCUAGUUGGUGAGGUAAUGGCUCACCAAGGCGACGACGGGUAGCCGGCCUGAGAGGGUGACCGGCCACACUGGGACUGAGACACGACCCAGACUACUACGGGAGGCAGCAGUGGGGAAUAUUGCACAAUGGGCGCAAGCCUGAUGCAGCAACGCCGCGUGAGGGACGACGGCCUUCGGGUUGUAAACCUCUUUUAGCAGGGAAGAAGCGAAAGUGACGGUACCUGCAGAAAAAGCACCGGCUAACUACGUGCCAGCAGCCGCGGUAAUACGUAGGGUGCAAGCGUUGUCCGGAAUUAUUGGGCGUAAAGAGCUCGUAGGCGGUCUGUCGCGUC